UACCAGACUCCUACGGGAGGCAGCAGUGGGGAAUAUUGCACAAUGGGGGAAGCCCUGAUGCAGCAACGCCGCGUGAGUGAAGAAGUAUUUCGGUAUGUAAAGCUCUAUCAGCAGGGAAGAAGAUGACGGUACCUGAAUAAGAAGCCCCGGCUAACUACGUGCCAGCAGCCGCGGUAAUACGUAGGGGGCAAGCGUUAUCCGGAUUUACUGGGUGUAAAGGGAGCGCAGACGGCAGUGCAAGUCUGGAGUGAAAGCCCGGGGCCCAACCCCGGAACUGCUCUGGAAACUGUGCGGCUAGAGUACUGGAGGGGCAGGCGGAAUUCCUAGUGUAGCGGUGAAAUGCGUAGAUAUUAGGAGGAACAUCGGUGGCGUAAGCGCUUUACUGGGCCGUAAUUGACACUGAGGAACGAAAGCCAGGGUAGCAAAUGGGAUUAGAUACCCCAGUAA
rnacentral:rRNA from 1 species